rfam:Clostridium sp. CAG:510 genomic scaffold, scf109
GUGUUUUGAAGUAGAGAUUGUGCUGCUACGCACCCUAUGGGUCAAAAGAAAUGUGGGAAAGGGCACACCCACCAAAAUAC